rnacentral:rRNA from 1 species
CAGCAGUGGGGAAUAUUGCACAAUGGGGCGCAAGCCUGAUGCAGCCAUGCCGCGUGUAUGAAGAAGGCCUUCGGGUUGUAAAGUACUUUCAGCAGUGAGGAAGGUGGGUAUGUUAAUAGCAUACUCAUUUGACGUUAGCUGCAGAAGAAGCACCGGCUAACUCCGUGCCAGCAGCCGCGGUAAUACGGAGGGUGCGAGCGUUAAUCGGAAUUACUGGGCGUAAAGCGCAUGCAGGUGGUUGUUAAGUCAGAUGUGAAAGCCCGGGGCGUCAACCUCGGAAUUGCAUUUGAAACUGGCAAACUAGAGUACUGUAGAGGGGGUAGGAAUUUCAGGUGUAGCGGUGAAAUGCGUAGAGAUCUGAAGGAAUACCGGUGGCGAAGGCGGCCCCCUGGACCAGAUACUGACACUCAGAUGCGAAAGCGUGGGGAGCAAACAGGAUUAGAUACCCUGGUAG